ensembl:lncRNA
GGUAUCCCAUACGAAUUCCCUCCUUGGGUAUCCACUGAUUCUUCCUUUUGCUGCUCUUGGUGACAGGCCUCUGGCACUCCACCCCACAGCUGGAUUGCACCUCCUCUGUGUGCCAUAGAUCUGGAUCUGUGAGAUUCCCCUUGGAGGCUCCAGAGAAAGUGCAGUAUGUAAAGCAAACAUCAGUACCUGAGACUAAGCUCCACUGACGACCCUUCAAGGGAGGGCACCCCCACUCCCUUAUACCACCGGGCCAUAAAUGUCCCACCAGAAGCAGAGCAGCUUUCCUGGCCUGCCGUCCCAGUACAGCAGUGAUGGAUGCUUCCAGCACGGCACUGACAUGGGGGCCUCAGGCUGGGCUGGCCAGGAUUCUGAGAGCUAUAGAAGAAGCCCAUGGGCAUCUCGACCCUGUUCCGUGUCGGAGCUGGAGAGGAGCUACGCAAACACCUACCCCUUGUCAGGGGUCCCCUUCAGAGGAGAGAACCCUCUGAACGGGACGCCAGGACCCUGGGAGCCCGACCACUCAAACAGCACAUGGAGAGAGUCCAGCAGGGGCUUUUUUAGCCCCAAGCACAUCGAAAGAGCCAGGUCCUUGAGCCCCUUGCGAGGGAUCCACUCCAUAGAUAGUGGGAUAGUUUUAACCAAUGGCAUGGAAUGUGCCUGGAAACAUUCCAGCCCACCACUCAGAAGGAGGCAUUCUUUAUCUCGUCUCCCGGACUGGGACACAGAAGAAUAUGGUCCCAUGCGGCCAUUGGCUCGAAGGGUGUGGAGUGGAUUGGAGCUGGACCUGCGGGCAUCUUUACCAGAGAAUGUGCAGAGGACAGCAGGGCUGAGGCCCUCUCUGCGGGAUGCUCCUGGGGUGCUAGAGGGACAAGCAGAAGAGCUGCAGAAGCUGGAACUCAACAGGGUGAAGUUUGAGCUGUUUUCCAUUAAGCAGAAGCAGAUGGAGAGCUCCGUCACCCAGCUAGAGAAGGAAAAGAGCUGGUUGGACCUGUCCCGCUAUGAAGACCAGAAACAGAGAGGGGACCUGCAAGAGAAGAUCCUUAAUUUGGAGAUGGAGGUGGUGAAGGCCAAAUCCUGCUUGAGCAGAAUGAGCUGCCGCUCAGUCUCCCCAAGUCCCAGCCAGAGGCUGUCUGCGGAGAAGGAGGAGCUGAAUCGAGAAAUGACAGCUCUUCAAGAAACCCUGAGUGAUUACAAGGAGCACAUGAAGGUUCUGGAAGCAGAACGGGAUGAAAUGACCCAGCAGCUGAACUCAGCCAAAGAGGGGCAACAGCUGGCUUUCAGCCAGACCAGUGAGGCCAACCAGAGAGUGACAGACUCGUUCCAGGUGACAACAGCACUGCACAAGGAAAUUGGCAGACUCCAAGCGGCUUACAGCAGCACCAGUCGGGAGAAGGAGCUGCUGUCUUCCAAGGUGGCCAGGCUGGAGGAGAGAGUAUCUGAGCUCACCAUGAAGCUGAAGCCUGCCCUGGCCAACAGGGAGAGGUUCCUAAAGGAGAAAGUAGAGCUGCACCUGCAGGUGCAGGAUCUCACCCUGCAGUUGGAACGUGCACAGUGGAGCCGAGAGGGAUUCAACAGCCAAGUGUCAGACCUCCACCUGGAGCUGGUGAAUGCCAAGGCCCAGGCCAACCACCAGGACCAGGAGAAGGUCCUGAUGAAGGAGGAACUGGUGACUCUCAGACAGGUAAAUGAACAGCUCUCCUCUGAACUGGGUCAGAGCCACCAGAGACUGGAGACCUCCACGGGUCAGCUCCACCACCUGGAGGCUGAGAAGAAGAUCCUGACCAAUAGGAUCCAGGCCCUGGAGACUGAGUGCAUGCAGCUGCUGGGUGAACAGGAGGCGCUGAAGUCACAAAUGCAGAGGGAUCCUGGAGGCCAGGGGAUUGAUAUGGCAGCUCUUCAAACAACCUGCGAAGGGCUCAGGGCGUCACAGUCCGUGUUGCAGGCGGAGAAGGAAGCCUUGCAGGCUCUCUGCAUGGAGCUGGAGGCUGCCUUGCAGCAUAAGCAGGAGGAGUUGUGUGGCCAGCUCGCAGAGCAGCAGCAGGUCUCCCAGCACUGGAAGGACAGAUGGAACCAGGCGGCCAUGGCCCUAAAAACCAAAGAGGAGGAACUGGAGCAAGCACACAUGGCGAGUCAGAGCUUGUCUGCCAAGCAUACUGAGCUCCUGGAGGACUGUGAGCUGCUCCAGGUGGAUGUGGAGGAGCUGGCCGAGCUGAGAGGCACUGUGUGCAGCCUGAAGGAAGAAAACAGAGACUUAAUGAGACAGCUGAGGGAGCAGCAACAGGCCACCCAGCUGCUACAGCUACAGCAAGAGCUGGCUACAAACACAUCUGUACUGGGAUCAGGCUCACAGAGGACUUCAGAACAAGAGGCCCUUUACAAAGAGAUCCAGGAAACCCACGACAGGAUAAAGAGGCUGGAGAAUGAAAAAGCUGAGAUGAAGUCCGAGAUCAGGAAACUGAAGCUGGACGGCGCUUCCGUCCUGCGGAUUGAACUGGAUGCCUGUAAGCAGGAGCUGGAGCUGGAAAAGAGCCGCAGUCAGGCUCUGAAUGGCAAAGUGCAGCUGCUGCAGUCCCGGCGCCGGGACAAUGCUACUCCACCACAUGAGCAGAUCAAGUUCCCAGCAGCCUCCAAUACCACAGCAACAUCUGGCUUAGAGAUGGAUUGUCCUGUGUCCUCUCCAAGAAGUUCUCAGAUUUCCAGUCCUCAAGGAGAACCGUUGGCCCUGGAGAGCCCCCGUGGCUUGAUGGCCUCAGGGGGCCUGUCUGAGGUGGAGAGCCUGAAGCAGAAGCUCCAGAGGGAGACUGCAUCCCGGCAGGAAAAGGAGGCACUGAUCUGGACUCUGAGAGAGGCCUCCCUGGAGGAAGUAGACACAGAGUUAGUGCUGGUCCGAAAAGAGCUACAGAAGGUUUGGGACAUGCUGAAAACCCGUGAUACGGCACUGGAAGAACAACGGCUGGAGUUAGAAUCGUCCAGGAGCCAGUACACUGAAUGCAGCUCAGAAAAGCUGAGACUGGAACAACUCGUCGCCUGUCUGGAGCACCAGCUGGCGGAGAGAGAACAGGCCUUGAGGCACCUUCAACAAGCAAGUGAGAUGGAAAAAAACAAGCUGGAGAUUCAAGCCUCUUCAUUAGAGCUGAAGCUGGCAGAAGUGGAGGUCCUGAGAGACGACGCCCAGCGACGCAACCAGGCAUCGGGCCCUCUAGAGGUACAGAACUCGGGCCCCAGGCAGGGCCGUGCCAGCCACUCCCAGGGGAAGUGCUCCCGGUGCGAUGCUUUUCUGGCCCAGCUGAACAAGAUGAUUCAAAGCUGUACAGAGAAAGGGGCUGUGCUGCAGGAGGACCAGGCCUUGACCUACCUGUGUGAGCUGCAGGGGCUCCUCAAGGGGCUGAGUCCGUGCGCGGCCAGCCAAGUCACAAGGAGCCCCCAGGAAAAGAGCCAGACCCUGGAACAGCAGCAUCAGUUGGUGACUGAGCAGGUAACAAACCAUGCAUUCAGCUUUGUCUCAGGCUGUCUGCCUCAUCAUAGUUUUUAUGC